CAUUAGCGCGCAGGCCGGAGGCUGGCCCCCCACGAUAGGGCCAAACGUCCGUCCAGGGGUGAGCAGAUGUGCGCCGGCCGUACCGCCCCAUUCUUGUCUACAUUACUCGGUUGCCUCGGCGGGCCGCGCUCUCCCAGGAGAGCCGUUCGGCGAGCCUCUCUUUAGUGGCUAAACGCUGGACCGCGCCCGCCGGAGGACAGACGCAAAAAAAUUCUUUCAGAAGAGCUGUCAGUCUGAGCGUUAGCAAGCAAAAAUCAGUUAAAACUUUCAACAACGGAUCUCUUGGUUCCGGCAUCGAUGAAGAACGCAGCGAAAUGCGAUAAGUAAUGUGAAUUGCAGAAUUCCGUGAAUCAUCGAAUCUUUGAACGCACAUUGCGCCCCCUGGCAUUCCGGGGGGCAUGCCUGUUCGAGCGUCAUUUCAGCCCCUCAAGCCCGGCUUGUGUGAUGGACGACCGUCCGGCGCCCCCGUCUUUGGGGGUGCGGGACGCGCCCGAAAAGCAGUGGCCAGGCCGCGAUUCCGGCUUCCUAGGCGAAUGGGCAACAAACCAGCGCCUCCAGGACCGGCCGCCCUGGCCUCAA
rnacentral:misc_RNA from 1 species